AUCCAGCUGACGAGUCCUUAACAGGACGAAACGCCCGCCCUGGAU
rfam:Schistosoma margrebowiei strain Zambia genome assembly, scaffold: SMRZ_scaffold0000823